rnacentral:rRNA from 1 species
GACGAACGCUGGCGGCGUGCCUAACACAUGCAAGUCGAACGAAGUAUGUUUUUCGGAAUGUACUUAGUGGCGGACGGGUGAGUAACGCGUGAACAAUCUGCCCUAUACAAAGGAAUAGCCUCGGGAAACUGGGAUUAAAACCGUAUAACACUUUUUGAUCGCAUGAUUAAGAAGUCAAAUUGAUUAAGAGGUAUAGGAUGAGUUCGCGUCUGAUUAGCUAGUUGGUGAGGUAAUGGCUCACCAAGGCGACGAUCAGUAGCCGGCCUGAGAGGGUGAACGGCCACACUGGAACUGAGACACGGUCCAGACUCCUACGGGAGGCAGCAGUGGGGAAUAUUGCACAAUGGGCGAAAGCCUGAUGCAGCGACGCCGCGUGAGUGAAGAAGGUCUUCGGAUCGUAAAACUCUGUCCUUGGGGACGAAAAAAUGACGGUACCCAAGGAGGAAGCCCCGGCUAACUACGUGCCAGCAGCCGCGGUAAUACGUAGGGGGCGAGCGUUGUCCGGAUUUACUGGGCGUAAAGGGUGAGUAGGCGGUUAUUUAAGUCAGAUGUAAAAGGCUAUGGCUCAACUAUAGUAAGCAUUUGAAACUGGAUGACUUGAGUGCAGGAGAGGUAAGUGGAAUUCCUAGUGUAGCGGUGAAAUGCGUAGAUAUUAGGAGGAACACCAGUGGCGAAGGCGACUUACUGGACUGUAGCUGACGCUGAGUCACGAAAGCGUGGGUAGCAAACAGGAUUAGAUACCCUGGUAGUCCACGCUGUAAACGAUGAGUGCUAGGUGUUGGCUAGCGAUAGUCAGUGCCGACGUAAACACAAUAAGCACUCCGCCUGGGGAGUACGGUCGCAAGACUG